GACAGAGGGUGCAAACGUUGUUCGGAUUUACUGGGCGUAAAGGGCGCGCAGGCGGCUCAUUUUGUCAGGCGUGAAAGCCCCGGGCUUAACCUGGGAACUGCGUUUGAUACGGAUGGGCUAGAGUUCGGGAGAGGAGAGUGGAAUUCCCAGUGUAGAGGUGAAAUUCGUAGAUAUUGGGAAGAACACCGGUGGCGAAGGCGGCUCUCUGGACCGAGACUGACGCUGAGGCGCGAAAGCGUGGGGAGCAAACAGG
rnacentral:rRNA from 1 species